rnacentral:rRNA from 1 species
AGGCAGCAGCAAGGAAUAUUGGGCAAUGGGCGAAAGCCUGACCCAGCGACACCGCGUGGGGGAAGAAGGCCUUCGGGUUGUAAAUCCCUUUUCCCAGGGAAGAAUAAUGACGGUACCUGGGGAAUAAGCCUCGGCUAACUACGUGCCAGCAGCCGCGGUAAUACGUAGGAGGCAAGCGUUAUCCGGAUUUACUGGGCGUAAAGAGGGCGUAGGCGGCUUUUCAAGUCGGAUGUAAAAUCUCCCGGCUCAACUGGGAGGGCUCAUUCGAUACUGUUGGGCUAGAGUGCAGCAGAGGGAGGUGGAAUUCCCGGUGUAGUGGUGAAAUGCGUAGAUAUCGGGAGGAACACCAGUGGCGAAGGCGGCCUCCUGGGCUGUUACUGACGCUGAGGCCCGAAAGCGUGGGGAGCAAACAGGAUUAGAUACCCCGGUAGUC